GUUUCUGUAUGUGCCUUUCCUUUUAAUUAGGCUAAGAUAAAUAAAUAGAAUCCCCGUCUUCAUCUUGUUUUUAUUUACUUGUAUUCAUUUAGACUCCAAAAUCGAAUAUAUUCAGCAGCUUCAUGGGCUUGGUUGGAAGGUAGGCCGCCGCGCCCAUUCACUGUUUCACAUUUUAGUUACUACUCGGACGGGCUUGGGGCACAGAAUGUUGGCGGAAGGCUGAGCAUGGCCAGACAGUCAAGUCGUUCUUGUCAUUGCUUGAUCUAAAAGCUGUUGAAGCAGAAAUCAGUAAGCAGUGUGAAGACCUUCCAAGAGGAGAGUUUGCUUCAAAAUCCCUUAGCCACAGUUACACAGUGUUUGCUCGUGAUAUGAUGGAGGUUAAGUGAGUUGUGGCUAGGUACAAUAGCAUAAAUGUCAUGCACCUAAUAUUUACCUUUCCAGAUUUUCACUCUGGCUAGCCUCUCCAAUUUUAAUUUCUUGCAACAAGUCCACAAUUUUUGGGCUUUUCAGUUACACUCAUGCAGUGUUUUUGAGGAUCCGUGACAGAAGCCUCAGUUACUAUAAUAUAAAGUGUUUCAAAUUUGUGCUUGGAAAAUCUUGAAACGAUAAUGAUUUUCAGAAUUUGUAUGAAAGAUGUGAUAUUGAUUUUAUUUUUUCUUCUUCUUUUUGGUAUAUGACAAUCCUUGAUAGUGGAAGGUCUGAAAAAGUUUGGUCCAUAUGUUGCAACGAUGGCGGAAGUGGAAGGCUUGGAAGCCCACAAGAGAGCGUUAACUCUUAGAUUGCAAGACAUUGGAGCCAGGCAAGUUGCAAAUAUAAGUUAGGCUCCUUUCGUUUGUAUUUGUUUUCUGAUUUUUUUUUUUCGAAAACAGCCUGUCAUGUUCUCUCACUUUGCAAAAUUUGUGUUAUUGCUAUUACUGUUGGAACUUUGUUUGUUGUAACAUGAUAUAGAUCUCAAAAUCUCAAUGCCUGAUCAAUACAAUCUUUUAGAGACGAGUUUAGUUA